GGGGAUGUAGUUCAAUGGCAGAACUCCAGCUUCCCAAGCUGGUAGCGCGGGUUCGAUUCCCGUCAUCCCCU
rnacentral:tRNA from 1 species